CCCCGCAGAGCGAGCACGGCGCCCACCGCGGAAAACCGCAGCUCCUUCCUGCUGCACGGGGAGGGGAAGGGGCCGGCUCCGGGCCACCUGCAAGUCCGACGGGCUCCAGCGCCGGCCUGCCCUGCAGCCCGGCUCAAGUCCACAGGGACUCGGAGCGCCCCGGGCGCCCUCAGCGCCACCAGAGUUGUGGGCCCAACUCUGGUGCCAACGGGUCUCCGUGCUUCGGGAGAGACGGGAGCAGAACCAGCACCAGCGCCGCGGGAGCCCGCUCAUUCGGACCAGAGGGGGCCCUGGAGGGGUGCUCACCGGGUGGGGAGGAGGGCGAGGAGAGGCUGUGAGAUUCAAGAGGACACCAAAAAACUCAGCUCUCGUAGAGAGAGAGAAACAUUGAUCCGUUGUCUCCCAUACACGCCCCGGCCGGGGAUUGAACUGGCAACCUUUCUCUGGUGCAUGGAACAGCGCUCCAACCUCCGGAGCCACCGGCCAGGCAAGUGGGGCCUGCCUACGUCAGUGAAAAGGGUGCCAGACCCUGGAUGGAAACAAGCUGGCUUUUUCUCGCCGGCUUUUACAGAAUAUGAAAACUCUUGGGAAAUCAGACAAGAUCAAUCGGUGAGACUGAAAAUAAAAAGCCCGUUGGUGCAGGCUCGCGGCCCGGCUGGCCUCCGCGGGGACUCGGCUGCAGCGGGGCUCCCUGGGCCGGCAGCUGCCCCAUGUCCUUUCCCUCCGGCCGCCCACGACCUGCGCCUGUCAGACUGUCACACACGGGGAGUUCAGGCUCCUCGGCAUCGACAACUGUUCCCACAGAAACCAGCGAGACGUCAGAGUGUGAAGAAGACGCAGUAAGACAAACCACAAGAAAACCAAGGUGACAAAUUAACCUGACUGCCAAAAGCAGAAGGAAGGGGCCCAGCUCAGAGGCUUUCAAACUGCGCUGCCCGGAGCCCAGAGAGCCCCGCGCAAGCCCUUGGAGGGUCUCCGGACCAAAGCUGAGGCCCAACUCCCAGCCCAGCCUCCUCUCAUGCCGUCCGUGAAGACCACGUAGUAAGACUUUGCCGGAAAAAACGCUUUAUGGUCAAAGGAACCUGAAACCAUUGGUCUAAGAGACUAAGGACCCAGGCACCUCCAGCUGCUCGGAGGACUCUCUCGAGGUCUGGGCAGGCAAGGGUCUUCCACACCUGAGAGCUCGCAGCAGGUUCAAAAAAACCCAAAACAGUUGUGAUCUUUAGAGUCGAGAAAAGUUGUAAACAUUUAAACAACUGCAUUCUUGGGUCUGGAAGGAGAGUGGAAUGAAAUCCCCAAGUGAUCUCUUAAUGCCACCAAAAUCGCACUUGCACGCCUCUGCCAGAAAAGAUGAACCUCCACUUGCACAGCGGUCAUGCACUUAAAAGUGACUGGGUGCAGAGAGCUUUGGAAAAUGUAUUAUGGCAGGGAAAAGGGAAUGCAAAGGGGUUCCAGAUAUUUAGUAUACUGAUAAGACAGCUUAAGAGUGACAAAUGAUUCUCUCUGAGAAUUUGAAGGGUCGUGGUAAGGCCAUCAGGAGGACCUAGGCCAGCUGGCCCCAGCCCCUCAGCCCUCGGACAUGAGAAGCCACCCCAGCGCUGACUCGGAAUCACCGGGAGUGAGUGAAGACGCAGGGAGCCCAGGGACCAGCGCCGUCACCUGGGACCUCGUCAGAAACGAGGCGCCCCAGCCCUGCCCAGCCCGAACCUGGUUUGAACGAGUGCCCUUGUGACCCCAGGAAGGCCGAGCAGUGCAGUGGCCCCUGAGGGAGUGUGGCCUCCUGCCCCCCGAGGUCCGGCACAGACACUCAACGUGCCAGGAGGGCUGGUUCCGAGACCUGCCUUCCCUGGGACGCACAGUGCCAAACGGCUAGGCUCUCUAGGGACAAACAGGCGGGGUUUCUGAAGGCAGUCGUGAGGUCACAGCGCCUUACACCCAAGGAAUAGGCUGCCCGGGUAGGAGACGUGGAGACGGAGCCUCAGCCGCUCCCCCGUGCGAGCAGCCAGGCUGUCAGGAGCGGGAGAGAGGAAGCCUGCUCCAGUGAGGGAGUGCCAGGGAGGCGGCCUGCCUCUGGCCCAGGAGUCACGCGCCUGGGGCAAGGGGGCACUGGCACCCCUGGAGCCCCGCUGAGCCCAGAGACAGCCUGGAGAACAGCAGGGCGGAGGAGACCAGCAGCCCCUCUCCCUCUGGGCAUGGCGUGUGCGUCCUGGCCCCCGGGAAGCCAGGCAGCACGCAAAUGCACAUUUGAUGACCUUUCUCUGCAGGCAGCCUGCUCUCUGAGGAGCCGAGUGCGCACACAGCCCGGCCCAGAGCGGACAGAGGGAAAAGAAGGCACCGGCAGGCCUGCAGACAAGCUAGGACGGGCCCUGGAGAGAGUGGGCUGGGGCGAAGAGAUGCACAGCAGCCACUCCGGUGGCCACACAUCUCCCAGCUUCCCGGUUCCCGUGGGCCGGGCUCCUGGGAAAGCAGCUCGGGGCCCAGGUGAACGCCUGGCAGAACGGUCAGAAGGCGCUGGGCACGGAGAAGUCUCCCUCUGAGCACAGCCGCCCUCCCCUCCUGACCGACCCAGACACGCGGGAGGGAGGGCGCGAUCCCUGCCGCUCCGCUGCCCGGAGGAAACUGAGCCGCCCGCACGUAAGGGUGGGAGCCACGCAACGCGCUGACCACGCCCGGCUCUGACGGGAUCAGUCGUGGGGCACGCGCCGUCCCAGGAGAGACGAGGCCUGCGCUGCUCCCCGACACCGCCCUCCUGGCCGCACCCCUCACGCACGAGGCUGCGGCUUUCACGACCCCAGCCCGCCUGCUCGCGUGCCCUUCUCUCCCAAGCGGCAGUGCCCACGCAAAGGGCACGUCCCCACAGCACCGCGCUGCUCUGCCGGUGCCACCGACGGCACUGGAAGGGGGCCGCAAGGGCGCCUGAGAGGGACUGACUCACCCCACGUACCCCACCCGCCUUCCCUACCCAAUGCCCCUCUCGCCAGUCCGUCCGUCUGUCCCGGACACGGGGAUGCUGCUGCUGUGGACAAAGUGCCAGAGGAACCACGGGGAGCCAGCCCCUCUGCAGCCCGCACCACCCUCACUGCAGCCGUGUUCCCACAGAGGCCCCCCGGUGUCCUACCAGAACCAGAGCUGCCUGGGGGUCCUGAGAAGACAGCCAGGACUCGGAGGUAGCCCAUUCACGCCGCUGGUGGGUGCCCGUCACAGGAAGACACCCAGCAUCUGUGGGCUGCGUCCGGUACCCCCACUGCCUUCAGGUGGGGGGAGUGGAGAUUCCUUCUGGCCUUCUAAGAAAAAAGAAGACAAACAACCUAGCACCAGAAUGUGAAACAUGCAGAGACACACACACACACACCACACAUACUUUUGGGGGGAAACCCAAUGUAACUGUGAGAUCAGGCCCAUGGUGGCCCCACUACCCAGACGUCCGCAGGGGGUCCCACACUGGUGACUUCCGCCGAAACGGGUGGCCAGAAGGGACACUGAAAUCCAGCUGGGCCCCAGGACGUGGCCAGAGCCCCGGGCAUGGCGAGCAUCCCGGUGAGGAGCUCGCAGCUCAGCAGGGCUUACCCACGGGGAAGGGAGGUACUUCCAGCCUGGGCAGGACCCCUGAGGGGCUCCGAGACCAGGGGCUGCCCAGGGCAGUGGGCCCUCCCUUCCCCUGCUGUUCCCCAGAGGCCGCCCCCCAUCCGUACCCAGGUGGACCUCGCCCCCAUCAGGACAAGGAGGCAGGCCCCUUGGAAGGCCCUGCGUUCUCCCGAGAGAAGGACCAGAAAGAUGGGAUCGUGAGCACCAGAGGCUGUGAGGACAGUUUGAAAAUGACUUACUUUAUCUUUCCUCCAAGUGGUGCCGGCGGGAAAACAGGUGACUGACUUGACUCAUCUCACAAAAAUUCUUCCAUUUUUCUUUGGAUUUGAUUUUUUUUUUUUUUUGCAUUGUGAUCAACUUCAGCACCUGCACAGAUUCCAUCCAUCAAGCUCUCACACAUGGAAACGAACCGGGGUCCCUAGGAAACAAUGACGAGGUUGGGACAGAGGGCAGAGGGCUGGAGGACCAGAAGGCCAAAGGCAGGCACGCCUGGCUUUGGAACACACAUGACCCUCCGUCAGAGCUUUCUCUGGGUGCAGCGCUGGGCGAGGGGCUUUACCUGCGCCCUGUAAUUCUCAGUAGCAACCCAGCAAAGUCAACAGUGCUGUCCCCAACUUACAGACAAGGAAACAGGCACAGAGACUAGGUGACUCUUGAAAAGUCACACAUGCUGUCUCCAAAAAUAUAAGAAGCUCAACUGAUGUUGCUCUUCAUGGGCCUUAUCAGUCACAGACAGAAGCAGACCCGAUGUCCUUGCGUUUUUAAAGUGGGGGAAGGCUCAGACGUCCGUGUACACGGAGACGCCAGAAAAGGAGAGCCCCUUUUCCGUCACUUCUCUCCCGGGGAGGGACACGUGGCAUUCGUGCAGCCUAGCCCCACAGGCUCUCCCCCAGGUUCCCAAGCAACCAGCGAGGGAAACCAGAUGCUGGUUCAAGAGGAGCCACUGGAGCUUCCUUAGGAGUGCUAAGCACGUGGGCAAAAACAGGAUCCGAAAACAGCAUGGCCGCUUUUACAAAU